rnacentral:sRNA from 3 species
AUGUACCACUCGUCCAUUGCGGUUCUGAACGCGCCAUCCACGCCUAUCUAACGACUGCUCGCUACGUUUUGUUUGGU